rnacentral:rRNA from 1 species
CCUACGGGAGGCAGCAGUGGGGAAUCUUGCGCAAUGGGCGAAAGCCUGACGCAGCCAUGCCGCGUGAAUGAUGAAGGUCUUAGGAUUGUAAAAUUCUUUCACCGGGGACGAUAAUGACGGUACCCGGAGAAGAAGCCCCGGCUAACUUCGUGCCAGCAGCCGCGGUAAUACGAAGGGGGCUAGCGUUGCUCGGAAUUACUGGGCGUAAAGGGAGCGUAGGCGGAUAGUUUAGUCAGAGGUGAAAGCCCAGGGCUCAACCUUGGAAUUGCCCUUGAUACUGGCUAUCUUGAGUACGGAAGAGGUAUGUGGAACUCCGAGUGUAGAGGUGAAAUUCGUAGAUAUUCGGAAGAACACCAGUGGCGAAGGCGACAUACUGGUCCGUUACUGACGCUGAGGCUCGAAAGCGUGGGGAGCAAACAGGAUUAGAUACCCUGGUAGUCCACGCUGUAAACGAUGAGUGCUAGUUGUCGGCAUGCAUGCAUGUCGGUGACGCAGCUACGACAUAGACACUCCGCCGUGGGAGGUACGGUCGCGAGAUAACUACGAAGAAGUAGACGNGNGAGACGUGCGACGACGACGACGAGGGAGGAG